UGCCUUCCCAACACUCUGAAUGUCCAAG
rnacentral:piRNA from 1 species